rnacentral:rRNA from 1 species
ACUCAAAGGAAUAGACGGGGGCCCGCACAAGCGGUGGAGCAUGUGGUUUAAUACGUCACAAACCGUAGAACCUUACCAGGGCUUGACAUCUAGCGCACCGGUAUGAAAGUAUCGUUCCGAGCAAUCGGACGCUAAGACAGGUGUUGCAUGGCUGUCGUCAGCUCGUGUCGUGAGAUGUUGGGUUAAGUCCCGCAACGAGCGCAACCCUCAUCCCAUGUUGCCAGCGGGUAAAGCCGGGAACUCUUGGGAAACUGCCGGGGUAACUCGGAGGAAGGUGAGGAUGACGUCAAGUCAGCAUGGCCCUUACGUCCUGGGCUACACACAUGCUACAAUGGACGGUAGACAGAGGGAUCCGAUGCCGCGAGGUGGAGGCAAUCCCACAAAUCCGUUCUCAGUUCGGAUUGCAGGCUGCAACUCGCCUGCAUGAAGUCGGAAUCGCUAGUAACCGCAGGUCAGCGAAACUGCGGUGAAUACGUUCCCGGGCCUUGUACACACCGCCCGU